UGGGGAAUAUUGCACAAUGGGCGCAAGCCUGAUGCAGCCAUGCCGCGUGUGUGAAGAAGGCCUUCGGGUUGUAAAGCACUUUCAGCGAGGAGGAAGGUGGUGAACUUAAUACGUUCAUCAAUUGACGUUACUCGCAGAAGAAGCACCGGCUAACUCCGUGCCAGCAGCCGCGGUAAUACGGAGGGUGCAAGCGUUAAUCGGAAUUACUGGGCGUAAAGCGCACGCAGGCGGUUUGUUAAGUCAGAUGUGAAAUCCCCGGGCUCAACCUGGGAACUGCAUUUGAAACUGGCAAGCUAGAGUCUCGUAGAGGGGGGUAGAAUUCCAGGUGUAGCGGUGAAAUGCGUAGAGAUCUGGAGGAAUACCGGUGGCGAAGGCGGCCCCCCUGGACGAAGACUGACGCUCAGGUGCGAAAAGCGUGGGGAGCAAAACAGGAUUAGAUACCCUGGUAGGUCCACGCUGUAAAACGAUGUCGAUUUGGAGGUUGUGCCCCUUGAGGCGUGGCUUCCGGAGCUAACGCGUUAAAUCGACCGCC
rnacentral:rRNA from 1 species